AAAUUAAUAUUUAUGUAUUUAAUAUUCCCGAAUUUAGAAGAGCAAGUUAUCUAUAGUUUUUAUCGUUGAAUAGAUAUUUUGAAUAGAUUUCUUGAGGCGAAACGUUAUUCGUUUCUAAAUAUAUCUGGUUUUUCUAGAAAUAGAUUUAAUCUACUCUAUUUUUUAUAAGAUUUCAUUUUGUUGAUUUCUUUUUUGAAUGGGGCUAUGUUUUAUGGGAUGAGCUUUAAAACAAAUAUCUAUAAUAUAUUAUUUUUACUUAAUAUAUAGGAUUAGAAGUUUCCAUUAUUUGGAGGAUGUUAUAGUUUCUUUUGUUAUAGAUUUUAUUUUUUUUAUUUUUAGAUUUUCUAUAGAAAAGCAGUCUUUAAUAAUCAAAGUUUGGCUACAAUGAUAGAAUUAGUAUAUAUUUAUGUUUGAUUUUUGUUUAAUUUUUAGGUUAAUAAAAGGAAUUCGGCAAAUUAUUUUUCACCUGUUUAUUAAAAACAUGGCCUUUUGAUAAUAAUUUAAGGUCUGGCCUGCCCGCUGAAGUUUUGAAUGGCCGCGGUACUUU
rnacentral:rRNA from 1 species